AAUACGAGAGAGAGAUUUCCAUGUGUCAGUUGAGUUCAGUCUUUGGCACAGUUCAGUAACUGGUGAACUUCAGUUAGUUGAUUGGUUGGGUUUGUGUGUCAUUAUUAUUACUUAUCCAGCAGCGGUUGUUCUCUCUGCCAAAAGUCAUCAUCAUAACAGGAAACGUAAAGUAAACACGGUUAUUCAUUUGUUGGAGAUUUAAACAAGAUUGUGACGUGUUGAUCGUGUAAUCUUGAUAACAUUUUAUGGUCUACAUAUUGCGACGACCCUGAAGGAAGCAAUUUGACCUGUAAUUACAUCGGGGUUUGUGGUGGUGAAAGAAAAUACCCGGUCUCUGGAGAAUAAUACAAUACCGGAUGUCAUUCGCAUAAUAGCGUGCCAGAGUAGACAUAGAAGAAGAAAACGUGUUAUGUUCCACAAGAUUCGUGGUUCUUAUUUGUGACGUAGCAGUCCACGUAAUUCGGAUCGGAAUUCGGAGAAACCCGGUAGUAGUAGUAAAAAGGGGUUUUGUUGCACAAGAUUCAAGGUAACCCCCGAACUUGCUCCCAACUGACUCACCCUUUUUGCAUCGGAUGUUCACAGAGGAGUGAAUGAAUCAACGUUUUCCCGUCCUGUGAUACGCUCUCAGAAACUAAAAAUCCAGUCACACCACCAGGAACCGACCGAGUUCCAUCCAGCAGCAGCAAAGUCAAAACCAGUCAGUAUUUAACCGACACGGGACAUAGUGCAUUCCUAAAGAUACAUACGGUCACCAAAAAUCCUUGCCACUACGAACUAUUAACUAAAAUGCCAAAGGUCACCGCAUAUUCUUAAGUUAUUGGAGUAUAUACCGACCGGGUUUUAUACACGUGGACCUCAAUUUUUUGCAAGCUGUUGUACAAAAAUUGGAUCUCUUCCCAGUACUAUAUAAGCUGCUCCAGAGUUCUAAAUACUUGUAAUAGAAAAGAGAUUAACUUUUUGAAGAGGACCGAGUUGAAAGAAAAGCAUUCAAUUUGGGAACUUGAGAAUAGUUGCCAGAAAGAAGCCGGCUCGCAUCCGUUCCAUAAUUCUGUGUGAUCAGCUUUUGAUGAUGAUGACAUCGCUACAAGGUUGAAACCUUUCUUUUUGCUCCAGAUCUCCUCAGAUCUUGUGUGACCCUCUAAACUAAACCAAGUGACAUGUCCACAUCAACAAGACCGAAUGGAGGGGGUGGCGGAGAUGUAGCAAUUCCUUCCAAUAAGUCGAAUCAGAAAUUAGUUAGUGAUGAUUAUCUGGAGAAUCAAGUAUCUAGUAGAAGUAGUCAAGAAUUGUCGUCCUCCAGUAGUGCAGUAGCUAUGCAGAGAGGGAUAUCUACUGAAUCUUCCGGUCAAAGUUGUAGCAGUAUAACAAAAUCGCAAUGGCUCACAGUUGCCGUAUUAGUCUACGUCAACCUCAUCAACUAUAUGGAUCGCUUCACCCUUGCCGGGAUUCUGGAUAAAAUUCAGUGUAACUUUGGCAUUGAGAACAGUGAGGGUGGUCUACUUCAAACAGUAUUCGUAAUCAGUUACAUGAUUUUUGCUCCUGUAUUCGGAUAUCUGGGUGACAGAUAUUCUCGAAGAUUUAUAAUGGCAUUUGGAGUUUUUCUUUGGAGUCUCACCACUUUGCUUGGCUCAUUUAUGGAUAAAAGUUGGACAUGGUUUGUCGUAUGUCGAGCCUUGGUUGGAAUUGGUGAAGCAAGUUAUUCGACGAUAGCCCCGACAAUUCUUAGCGACAUGUUCACGCAUGACAUGAGAUCAAAAAUGUUGGCAUUGUUUUAUUUUGCCAUUCCAGUUGGAAGUGGGCUGGGAUAUAUUGUUGGUUCCGAGACGGAAAAAUUUACUAAAGACUGGCGGUGGUCACUUCGAGUUACUCCUAUUAUGGGAAGUGUAGCUACGAUCCUUAUACUUAUCGCCAUGAUUGAUCCUCCCCGAGGUCAAUCAGAGGGCUCUACAGCUUUAAAAGCUACAUCGUACAAAGAGGAUGUCGUUUACUUGCGAAAAAAUAAAAGUUUCAUCUUGUCUACACUUGGAUUUACCUGCGUUACAUUCGUUGCUGGAGCUUUAGCUUGGUGGGGUCCUAUUUUUAUUACUUAUGGACUUACAAUUCAGGAUGGAGCAGGACAUGUGGAAAUGUCAGACGUAUCGCUCAAAUUCGGAGUAGUCACCAUGUUAUCGGGGUUAAUCGGAGUUCCACUUGGUUCCUAUGCUGCUCAAAAGUUCAGAAUUCGUAAUGGGCGUGCUGAUCCAUUGAUAUGUGCCUUUGGACUUCUUGCCAGCACCCCAUUAAUGUUUUUGGCUGCCGUCACUGCCCAAUAUCACACUGUGGCGUGUUUUACACUAAUAUUUUUUGCCGAGUUGUUCCUAAACUUGAACUGGUCAAUUGUAGCAGACAUUCUAUUGUAUACUGUCAUUCCAACACGACGAUCGACCGCUGAAGCAUUCCAAAUUCUAUUAAGUCAUGCAUUUGGGGAUGCCGGAAGUCCAUAUCUGAUUGGAAUCAUUUCGGACGAAUUGAAGAAAGUGUUGCGACAAAAGAAUGAAACAGAGAUAACAAUGAAUGCUACCUCAAUUAUUACUAAUUCUUCGCUACUCCAGACUAUGAACUUUGAAGAUAUGUCGUGCAAUUCUACGCACAUUAGCAAUGAAAGUGCUGCACUCGAGUUUCAAAGUUUACAGUACUCUCUGUUCAUUACUUGUUUUGUCGAAGUCCUGGGAGGGUUAUUUUUCCUCAUGACGGCCUGGUAUAUAAUUUCCGACAAAAACAAAUGUGAUCGUAUUAUUGCCACAUCUUCCGAAGAAGAGAAAGUACAGCCUAGUUCCAAAAUCGGUCCAAUGCCAUUAGCCAAAAAGGGCGACAGCAAGUCGAGCUCUACCGAUUCUGGACUUCAGAUGGAAGAAUCUUCUGUCAUUAGCGAAACGACCAGUUUAUAACCUUGCUCAACCAGCCACUGUAUUUGCGAAAAAUUCAGACCCCCUGUUCCUGAUUAUUUGUUUUUCAAAUGUCAACCCAACCCAAUCUGCCUGCCUAAAAACAAAAUAAGAAUUCGCCAGAAAAUUGUUGUUUCCGUACUGCUUACAUAUUACGCCCCACGCCCAAACUACCGCCUCUGAGUUUACGGUGGUCAACUUAUGCCGGAUGAAGCGUCAUCAUCUCAAACUGACGAUGAUGAGGAGGACAGCCGACCUCCAGGAAGAAUAACUUAUCCAUGAUCAGAGAUUACAUUAUAUAAACGCAUUGCUACUAUUUACCAAGAUUUGAAUAUUAAUUGGAGAAUUUUAGAGCAAAAGACUUGAUCCAAUAUAUAUCUGAUCUCAUACUAAAAGAAAACUUGACUUUUUUUAAACUAAUUUGAGUACUUAUGUAUUACUCGCUCUCUUUUAAUCUCUGAACAAUGUGCAAUCUCAAGUCGUCACAUUUUAACAUCUUACUAUUCAGGAUCAUGAAUAAUUUAUUAAUUUAUAUGGGCUGACUCCUCUUUGGGGAUAGUAAUUUUAUUAUUUUUAACCUUUUAAAAGCCACAUUGUAAUCAGAGAUAUCUCUAUCAGGCUGAAUUAUUAAAUUAAUAUUGUAUAAUUCCAUAAUGGACUACAUUUUAGUACGUUUUCUGUACGUGCUUUUUGGUGCUACAAAAAAUUGUUAGCUGAAAACUAUUUUUUCAUGCAAAAAAACAGUUUACUUACUAAACUGGCUACACAAUUCUUCAAGUUACAAAUUAAAUCGGAUCUGCAAAUGUCAAUCAUUUUUACCUAUUUGAUAAACGUCUUUGUACUUUAGCUGAAAAAGUAGAGACAGGGCAGGGGAGGACGACUGUAAAUUAUCUAUUAAUUGUACAUGCUGUUGUUUAGUCGUUGGGUUUUCAUUAUGAAAAUUUCAAUAGCCGUGGAAAAGGUGGUCCUAAGCAAUGUCAUCCAACUAUCCGAGGAAGAAUAUAAUUGCUUUUGUAUUGAAUUCCACUUUAAGUUUUGCUCACUAUUAUAAAUAAAUACAUGGACAAGUAUUCAUUAGUCGGUUAGGAUUAUGGAAUAUAAAGUCGUGUCAAGACUGAAUAUUCGUAUAAUUUAUAUUGUAUGUACUGAACAUUGUGUAAGACUUAUAGUUAAUCGAUGGGCAAAAUUAAAGAUAAAAGCUUUAAGUGAGGAAUAUAAUGGAUAAUAUUCAUACAUAUGUAAUAGCAUAGCAGCCAAAGCCAAAAAUUUUGACAAAAUAUUAAAGUAUGUAUACUCUGGGAAUCAAUUGAAAUUGACAAAUAACCCUUGGAAAUUUCGUAUCAAAAGCUUUUCUAUAUUUGUGACCUUAUACUGACAGGUGCCAAUGCAGUGGAUUUAUACGUUAUUGGGUUGCUACUUUUAAUACUGUUAGUAAUAUCUAAGUAAUACUAGUAAACGUCAUUUUCCUGUGUAUGCACAUAUAAAAAACGCUGCUGAUAUACUUAUGUUACGCAUAGGCUAAUAAAUAAAACUGUUACUAUUUACUUAUGGAAUGCGGCUGUUGAUAAUAAUAAGUACGCUAUCUAAAUAUGAUGAUGUCUCAAGCUAUAGUGUACAAAAUGCAACGAACUUGACAUGAAAAAAUAAAGCUGGAUGGAUUAUUAAAUUGAAAUUGAAAAA